rnacentral:rRNA from 1 species
AUUGAACGCUGGCGGCAGGCUUAACACAUGCAAGUCGAACGAGUGGCGGACGGGUGAGUAAUGCUUCUGACUCUAGCUUAUGGAGGGGGCUAACUACCGGAAACUGUAGCUAAUACCGCGUACCAUAGUAUGAGCCCAACUGGGAUUAGGUAGUUGGUGAGGUAAAGGCUCACCAAGCCGACGAUCUCUAGCUGGUCUGAGAGGAUGACCAGCCACACUGGGACGGAGACACGGCCCAGAAUCCGACGGGAGGCAGCAGUGGGGAAUAUUGCGCAAUGGGGGCAACCUGACGCAGCCAUGCCGCGUGAAUGAAGAAGGCCUUCGGGUUGUAAAGUACUUUCGGUAGCGAGGCGUUAACUACAGAAGAAGCACCGGCUAACUCCGUGCCAGCAGCCGCGGUAAUAC